rnacentral:rRNA from 1 species
AACGAACGCUGGCGGCAUGCCUAACACAUGCAAGUCGAACGAGACCUUCGGGUCUAGUGGCGCACGGGUGCGUAACGCGUGGGAAUCUGCCCUUGGGUUCGGAAUAACAGUUAGAAAUGACUGCUAAUACCGGAUAAUGUCUUCGGACCAAAGAUUUAUCGCCCAGGGAUGAGCCCGCGUAGGAUUAGCUAGUUGGUGAGGUAAAGGCUCACCAAGGCGACGAUCCUUAGCUGGUCUGAGAGGAUGAUCAGCCACACUGGGACUGAGACACGGCCCAGACUCCUACGGGAGGCAGCAGUGGGGAAUAUUGGACAAUGGGCGAAAGCCUGAUCCAGCAAUGCCGCGUGAGUGAUGAAGGCCUUAGGGUUGUAAAAGCUCUUUUACCCGGGAUGAUAAUGACAGUACCGGGAGAAUAAGCCCCGGCUAACUCCGUGCCAGCAGCCGCGGUAAU